rnacentral:rRNA from 1 species
CGGCACGCCUAAUACAUGCAAGUCGAACGCAGUAGCAAUACUGAGUGGCAAACGGGUGAGUAUAAUGUGGGUAUCUGCCUUUUGGUCUGGAAUAACACGGGGAAACUUGUGCUAAUACCGGAUAAGCCUUUACAGGGAAAGUUUUAAUGCCAAAAGAUGAGCCCGCACUUGAUUAGCUAGUUGGUAAGGUAAAAGCUUACCAAGGCAACGAUCAAUAGCUGUUCUUAGAGGAAGACCAGCCACAUUGGGACUGAGACACGGCCCAAACUCCUACGGGAGGCAGCAGUAGGGAAUCUUGCACAAUGGGGGAAACCCUGAUGCAGCGAUGCCGCGUGAGUGAAGAAGGCCCUUGGGUUGUAAAACUCUUUCGUCGGGGAAGAAAAUGACUGUACCCGAAUAAGAAGGUCCGG